rnacentral:lncRNA from 1 species
UCGGAGGAGCUGGACGAGCGGGAGAGGUCGGCGAUGGAGUGGGGCGCGCGGAGGCGGAGGUGGGAGGGGCGGAGCAGGAGGUGCCGCCGCAGCCGCAGCCGGCACGCGGCGGACGAGGGCGGCGCCGCCGCGCCGGAGAUGGACGCCAUCUCCGCCCGGAGUCGUCGCAGCAGGUAGCGGUGGCGGCGUGGGCCCCUCGCUUGGUCCACCUCACGGGCUCACGCGCCUCCUAUGCGAGGGUUUAGUUUUGGGGGAAGGAGUCCACGAGGUGGAGUUGGUGGCCUCGCUGCCUCGCUGGGCUUGGC